rnacentral:rRNA from 1 species
AGCGGCGCANGGGUGAGUAACGCGUGGAUCAUCUGCCUAAAAGUUCGGGAUAACGGCGGGAAACUGCCGCUAAUACCGGAUACGCUCCAAUUUCGGUUGGGGGAAAGUCGGCCUCUGCUUGCAAGCUGUCGCUUUUAGAUGAGUCCGCGUCCCAUUAGCUUGUUGGUGGGGUAAUGGCCUACCAAGGCAACGAUGGGUAGCUGGUCUGAGAGGAUGAUCAGCCACACUGGAACUGAAACACGGUCCAGACUCCUACGGGAGGCAGCAGUGGGGAAUAUUGCGCAAUGGGGGAAACCCUGACGCAGCGACGCCGUGUGAGGGAAGAAGGCUUUCGGGUCGUAAACCUCUGUCGGGAAGGAAGAACCCCUCAGGGCCUAAUAUGCUCUGGGGCUGACGGUACUUCCAAAGGAAGCACCGGCUAACUCCGUGCCAGCAGCCGCGGUAAUACGGAGGNUGCAAGCGUUAAUCGGAAUCACUGGGCGUAAAGCGCGCGUAGGCCGCUUUUUAAGUCGGGCGUGAAAGCCCUCGGCUCAACCGAGGAAUUGCGUUCGAAACUGAGAAGCUUGAGUCCUGGAGA